UUAAUAUUUUAUUUUUACUUGAGCGCCCUUCGUAAUUCAUGAUUCGCUUUCCUCCGUUCAAAAUUAGAUACGCAUGAGAGACAAGAAGUAUUUGAACACAAAUAAUAGAAUGAAUUGAGCUACGGAAAUGAAGUCACCAAAAGUAAACAAAUGCAGAAGCAUAACAACAUCAUCAUUUGACAUGAGAAAGUAAGAAGCAAAACUAGUCAAGUCCAUGGAUUUUUAAUUAUUUGACGCAAUGGAUAGGAAGAUUGUAUUUUUAGUGUCAUUUUUGUGCAUUGUAGUGGCUAGUGUCAUAGGUCAGUCACCUGCGGCUGCACCAGCCAAAGCACCCGUUGGUGCUAAGGCUACUACACCACUAGCAGCUGCUCCAACAAAGCCUAAAACUCCUCCUCCUGCUACUGCACCUGCCUCAGCUCCACCGACAGCUGUUUCUACUCCUCCAACAGCUGCACCACCACUACUCCUACUGCCCAUGUUUUUACUGCACCUGUAUCAGCACCACCGACUAAAACACCAACUAGUUCUCCACCAGUUGCAGUGCCUGUGAGUUCACCACCACCAGCGGUUACACCAGUGCAAUCUCUACCAGUACUAGCUCAGUUAGCAACCACGCCACCUACUGCUUCUGCUCCACCUACUCCUGUUCCAGUAUUAGCACCUAUUCUUUUGGGAGACAGUACCAACUCCUUCUCCUAGCAUGGAGUCCGACUCUCCCAGCCCCUCUUAACAAUGAGGUAUGCCAUCUUAUUAUAAUCUCUUUCUUAUUAGUAGUUUAACUUAUCUUCUUUUACAGUCUAAUUAAGAUAAGCCUGAUAGCUAAUGUUUUUCCAGAUCUGGUAAUACAUGCAAUCAACUUAUUAAUUUUUCUAGUAGUAGCUUAUCUGAAUUCUCGUAAUUUUAGUGUCUUUCAUUGUAUAAUAUGAGCCAAAUCCUCUGAGUAAACCUUAAUUUCAUUUCAAUUCAUCAGAUUCUGAGUAAACCUUAAUUUCAUUUGAUUUCAAUCUAAUUGACAUCAACAUCAACUCAGAUUCAUCCAACAAUACUUAGUAAAAAUUAAUAUGUUCUGACUUAUUUGGUCCUAUUACAUCUACAGUUUCUGUAGAAAGUGGUUGCAAUCUGCUGUUGAAAAAUACGGGAAGAAAUGCCCUAAGUGCAGACAACUUAUCAGGUACUUCUCCUAUUUAUUAGCAUUCCCAACUACUUUACUAAGCUGUCAAUACGGUAUUUCUUUUAAAAACUUCUAUGGCUGUCAAUACGGUAUUUUUUAAAAACUUCUAUGUGAUAAUACUGACUUGAUUUUGCAGCAACGAGAGAUCUUGCACUGUGAACACAGUUCUUUGGAAUACAAUUCAACAACUAUUUCCUAAAGAAGUAGAAGCAAGAAAAGCAGCUAGAGCUUCAGAUAGUAGAGAAGCUCAGCAUCAACGUCCAGUAAGAAUUGCCAGUCAUUCAAAUAUUUCAAAAAGCAGAAUAGAUUUGGUCUUAGCAUUACAUAGUCCAGAAUCUGGCUCUCGAGAUCCACAAAGAAGGAACUCUCACAUUAUGAGAAGACAUAGUGUCAGGCCAUCUGGGACAUCAAAUGGAGGUGGAGAGACUAGGCUAAGGGCAAGGAGAGAGUUACCACCAAGAAGAUCAGAAUGCUUAAAAGUCCAUUACUGAUGUUGUAGGCUAAUAUUGCUCAAAGAUUAUUCAAAUACUUAAAAUAACAACUUUGGAGAGGAAGAAAGAUCAUGUAUUAAACCAACAAGAAUGAACUAAUAUAUUAAAUAUGAAAUCUUGAUAUUCACUGAUACUUGAAACCCUUCAAGAUGUGAAAAGUGCAGCAAUAAAUGCGCUACACAAAAUUUCAGUUUAGAAAAGAAAGUGAACACCAAACCACAAAAAAACCAGAAAUCAGUAAUGGACCAAAGAACAGAGCAUCCAUUUAUCCAUUAUGCGUACAUGAAAUUAAUAACUCAACAUCACAACAGCACCAAUAUAUAUAAGCAAGUUUUAUUUUAGACAUGGAACAACAUAUUCAUUAACGAGUUCUGAAUCUGAAAGAAAUGGACUCAGAGAAGUGGUCCUUAACGCAAAAAAGUUUAUUUCAUGUUAUAAAUGUUAUAAGUGUUAUCAGUACCUCAAUUAUCUAUCGAUUCAAGCCUCAACAGGUUGCUAUCAACAAGUGCAAUAAUAUCACAAGAUCCACACUCAUCCGUCCAUCUUAGGAGAUACAUCCAACUUUUAUCUCCAUUAUCCAUUGAAAUCCUAUACGAUAAAACUAAAUCAAUAAAAUUAACCAAAUAAACCUACAUAUAAUAAAAUAUUGACUAAUUCUUUUAAGAGUGAAAACUCAGAAGGAGGAGCAAAAUCAACAAAAUUAACCAAAUAAACCUACAUAUAACAAGAUAUUGACCAAUUCUAUUAAAGGUGAAAACUCAGGAGGAGAGGAACUGAAGAGAAGUGUGAUUUUUAUCUUUAAUUUUAACAUAGAUAAUCAAUUUUAACAUAGUGCAUUUGUAUCUUUUUAUGAGUUUUCUGCAUGCGGAUAUAAUAAAUAUCUAGCUAGUUGGGUAACUCUAAAAAAUAGGUUGUCUUUUUUGUAUUCUUGAAACAAAAAAGUUACAUAACAAUAUUAAAUAACAAUGCUUGCCUAUUCUGUCAUUUAUAGUACUUUAAUUUAGAGUUGUAUUCAAUAUUCAAUUCUAAAAAAAUUAGACUUUAGCAACAUGUUGUACUUAACUCAAUGCAUCAUUAGUUAAACCCCAAGAUCGCAAUAAAAACUAAUUCAGAGUAUCAUCCAUAACAAGAUAAAUAAGAGAAAUACACAAAUACACUACCAACUUUAAUUACCAAAAAUUUUUAAUUAAGAAAACUUACGAGCAACUAGUGUUCCCUAAAUUACCAGCAAUGAUUUCUCCUCAGCUACCAGAAAUAAACUUUCUCUCAGCUAAUAAUAUCUAUACCACCAAAGAAGGUUCUAUUGUUCAACAAGGAGGAGCACGCAAAAAAAAAACAAAAAAUGACAUCAGAGAGGGAUUACUUGGAGAGCAUUCGAGCAAAGAGAACAAGAAAUAAUUUUACCUUAGAUACAAAAACAAACUAAUUAUACUCAAAUGAGUUUAUACUGAUAAAGAUGUCGAAAUAUUCAUGUCAACAAUUUAUGGAACUUAUGUACUAUUGGAAGCUAUCAGAAUCCAAGUCCAAAAGGCAGUUGAGCCAUCUGUGUCAUCCUCUUAAGCGAUCCAUUCACAAUUGGUCAUUUUACUCUGUAUUCACUGAAACUUUUUGACUUAAAAAGCCUUUAAAACAAAUCACUGAAAAUUGGUACAAUGGUACAUCACCAGUGACACCUUUCAACAACAACUAGGACUUUCCCUGAGGUUUCUCUAAAAGGGAAAACAAUAAAUUUCUCUGUAAUAGUGACAAAAAGAACACUUUAAAAAGAAAAAAAUUGAAACGUUAACAACCUAAUAGAGAUUUUCUUUUUGCAAAAUGGACCCCCUUUGACCCGAAUAGUUUAGUCUAUACACGAGUUCUUUUAUUUUAACCAUAAGUAUCCCAGAACCGGACAAAGAUUUUGAUUCCCUGGCUUGUUUAGAUUAAGACUUAAAGAGUUUCUUAAACUCAUAAUCCAAUUUUGUUGUCUUAACACAUGAAUCUUAUUACAUUAUUAUACUACUAAAGUACAAACAAAUGCAGGAUUAGUAUUAAGAAGCAAGCUAAGCUGCAUAAUAAUGGUUGGUCAUAACCUACCUAUACUUCGUUAUUUAGUGGGAUUAUGCCCGCGGCUCGACGGUGGGGGUGGUGCUCCAUGUGUUGAAAAUGAAAAAGGGUUAUUAUAAAGCAAAAGAAUAGUUAAUAUAGCCCUUGUCAGAUAUGUGGGAUUAUGCUCGCGGCUCGACAGUGGGGGUGGUGCUCUAUGUGUUGAUAAUGAAAAAGGGUUAUUAUAAAGCAAAAGAAUAGUUAAUAUAGCACUUGUCAGAUAAGAUAAUAGGCGAAUAGUGUAGUAGAGAACCUGAUACAGUAGUUGCUUUUAUACAUUCCCUGUUGACAUUCCUGGAACUGCCUAUCACAAGUACUUACAAGUAUUAACACUAUAUAUUUAAACUUAGCCAUCUGGUACAAGUAUACUAUUAUGCAAAUUCACGUAAGAAUGGUGUGCCCAUAUACUUUUUGAAGUGAUUAACUGACUCUGGAGGUCUUCACCAGGGAAGAAAGAAGGCAAUGAAGAUGCUAAAGACACUGCUAGAGGAAAGAAGAGCAAAGCCAAGGAAGGAACAAACUGAUUUCUUUGAUUAUGUCUUAGAAGAUUUUCAAAGAAAGGACACAAUCCUCACGGAAGCAAUAGCUCUAGAUUUGAUAUUUGUACUGCUCUUUGCCAGCUUCGAGACCACCGCUCUGGCUAUAACUUUGGCCACUAAAUUUCUUCACGACCAUCCAUUGGCUUUAAAAGAAUUAACAGUAAGUGUGACUAAUCUUGUUCAACUAAUCAGCCUCGUUUUUACAUGCCAGUAAUAACGGGUUUAUAAUGCUUUCAGGAGGAAUGUAAAAAUGCUAAUCAACUAUGAUCAGUUCAACAAUCUCAAAGAAAUUUUACAGCAAAUAGUUUCAACUAGAUUCAAAUCAAGCUUGACUUUUCAGUUCAAUACUCAAAAAAAUAAGCUUAAACUACGUGAGUCGAAUUCACAGAUUCAAAUCGAUCGAUCCUAAAUAAUAGUAAUGAAGUUCAGUCUUGUAUUCGAUUAAUCAAUCACAAAUCCCUCAAAAUACAGAAAAUAACACAAGUGUAAGUGUAGAGAAAUCAGACCUGAUGCGUCGAGGAGUGCAUAGGCUACGCAACAGCUUCAGGCACUAAAUCCAGAAAUUUGAAGCUGUUCUUCGAGCUUCAGCACCAGAAAUUCAAUUGUCGACACCAAACAAAUGAACCCAAGCUUCAGCCACAACUUCUCAACACCAAUUAGAAUAAAACACCCAAAACCAAUUUGUUCAGACACUCACGAAAACAACGAACCCCAGGUCGUCGUCGGAGAGAGAGAAAUGUGGGUAGUAGAGUUUUUAGCAAGAUUUGGGGAAGAUGAUCUAGGUCAUCGAAGAAGAAGUAUAAGAUUUUGAGAGAGAGAGAGAAAGAGGGGGGCGGGUAUCAGUGAAGGAGAAGAUGACUGGGUAUCGCCAUCAGUGAAGGAGAAUCGCAGUAGAGAAGAUGACCGGGUAUAGUAGAGAUAUCGCAGUUAAUGGGAAUUAAGGGCCAAAAAAGAUUUUUAUUUAAUAUGUAUUGU
rnacentral:lncRNA from 1 species